CACGUAGGGGGCAAGCGUUGUCCGGAUUUAUUGGGCGUAAAGAGCUCGUAGGCGGUUUGUUGCGUCGGCUGUGAAAUCCCGAGGCUCAACCUCGGGUCUGCAGUCGAUACGAGCAAACUAGAGUGUUGCAGGGGAGACUGGAAUUCCUGGUGUAGCGGUGAAAUGCGCAGAUAUCAGGAGGAACACCGGUGGCGAAGGCGGGUCUCUGGGCAACAACUGACGCUGAGGAGCGAAAGCGUGGGGAGCGAACAGG
rnacentral:rRNA from 1 species